CACGUAGGCGGAUUGUUAAGUCGGGGUGAAAUCCUGGAGCUCAACUCCAGAACUGCCUUUGAUACUGGCGAUCUUGAGUCCGGGAGAGGUGAGUGGAACUGCGAGUGUAGAGGUGAAAUUCGUAGAUAUUCGCAAGAACACCAGUGGCGAAGGCGGCUCACUGGCCCGGUACUGACGCUGAGGUGCGAAAGCGUGGGAGCAAACA
rnacentral:rRNA from 1 species